AACGAACGCUGGCGGCGCGCCUAACACAUGCAAGUCGAACGUGAAAGAGGGGGCAACCCUUCGAGUAAAGUGGCGCACGGGUGAGUAACGCGUAGGUGAUCUUGCUUUGCGACCGGGAUAACCAGCCGAAAGGUUGGCUAAUACUGGAUAGAGCGCAGGAACUGUAAGGGUUUUUGCGGGAAAGGGUGGCAUCAGUAAUGAUGCUAUUGCGCUGAGAUGAGCCUGCGUCUCAUUAGCUAGUUGGUAGGGUAAAGGCCUACCAAGGCGAUGAUGGGUAGCUGGUCUGAAAGGACGAUCAGCCACACUGGAACUGAAACACGGUCCAGACUCCUACGGGAGGCAGCAGUGGGGAAUCUUGCGCAAUGGACGAAAGUCUGACGCAGCGACGCCGCGUGGGUGAAGAAGGCCUUCGGGUUGUAAAGCCCUGUCGAGUGGGAAAAACGACAUCUGCAAUAAUACGGCAGGUGAGUGAUGGUACCACUAGAGGAAGCACCGGCUAACUCCGUGCCAGCAGCCGCGGUAA
rnacentral:rRNA from 1 species